GGGUUGUGAGGUUAAGCGACUAAGCGUACACGGUGGAUGCCCUGGCAGUCAGAGGCGAUGAAGGACGUGCUAAUCUGCGAUAAGCGCCGGUAAGGUGAUAUGAACCGUUAUAACCGGCGAUUUCCGAAUGGGGAAACCCAGUGUGAUUCGUCACACUAUCAUUAACUGAAUCCAUAGGUUAAUGAGGCGAACCGGG
rnacentral:rRNA from 1 species